GCGCCAAUAGCUCAACUGGCAGAGCAGCUGACUCUUAAUCAGCGGGUUCGGGGUUCGAGUCCCUGUUGGCGCACCA
rnacentral:tRNA from 1 species